UGCCAGCAGCCGCGGUAAUACGAGGGGUGCAAGCGUUAAUCGGAAUUACUGGGCGUAAAGCGUGCGUAGGCGGUUUGUUAAGCAAGAUGUGAAAGCCCCGGGCUCAACCUGGGAACUGCAUUUUGAACUGGCAGGCUAGAAUCUUGUAGAGGGUAGUGGAAUUUCCAGUGUAGCGGUGAAAUGCGUAGAGAUUGGAAGGAACAUCAGUGGCGAAGGCGGCUACCUGGACAAAGAUUGACGCUGAGGCACGAAAGCGUGGGGAGCAAACAGGAUUAGAUA
rnacentral:rRNA from 1 species